rnacentral:rRNA from 1 species
CGCACAAGCGGCGGAGCAUGCGGAUUAAUUCGAUGCAACGCGAAGAACCUUACCAAGGCUUGACAUGAACCGGAAAGACCUGGAAACAGGUGCCCCGCUUGCGGUCGGUUUACAGGUGGUGCAUGGUUGUCGUCAGCUCGUGUCGUGAGAUGUUGGGUUAAGUCCCGCAACGAGCGCAACCCUCGUUCUAUGUUGCCAGCGCGUUAUGGCGGGGACUCAUAGGAGACUGCCGGGGUCAACUCGGAGGAAGGUGGGGACGACGUCAAAUCAUCAUGCCCCUUAUGUCUUGGGCUUCACGCAUGCUACAAUGGCCGGUACAAAGGGUUGCGAUACUGUGAGGUGGAGCUAAUCCCAAAAAGCCGGUCUCAGUUCGGAUUGGGGUCUGCAACUCGACCCCAUGAAGUCGGAGUCGCUAGUAAUCGCAGAUCAGCAACGCUGCGGUGAAUACGUUCCCGGGCCUUGUACACACCGCCCGUCAAGUCACGAAAGUUGGUAACACCCGAAGCCGGUGGCCUAACCCUUGUGGGGGGAGCCGUCGAAGGUGGGACCGGCGAUUGGGACUAAGUCGUAACAAGGUAGCCGUACCGGAAGGUGCGGCU